CUGAAUUCCGUGCAAUUGUACGUUGAGGAACAUUGUCCUUAAACUGUUCGACUAUUUUCUCACGCACUUGUUCACAAAGAGGUGAACCUCGCCCCAGCUUUGCUUGUGAAUGACUGAGCAAUUCAGGGAAGCAAUCACGGCACCCACCUGUUCCCAAUGAGCCUGUUCACCUGUGGGAUGUUCCAAACACGUGUUGGAUGAGCAUCCCUCAACUUUUACCACCUGUCCCAGCUUUUUUGGAACGUGGAACUUCAUUGGGAUUGGGGUUAUACAUUUUAACACUUAAAAUGUAGAUUUUAAAACAGGCAUUCCUUAAAGUGUGGUACGCGGGUUCUCUCUAGUGGUACAUGAAAGAAUCAAGGCCUGAGUGCAGUUCAAUUGCAUUCGAUUUUUUUAGUACAAUACAUUUAAUCAGAUAAAUUUUUUGGGGGUGGAGGGGGGGGGGUUCUGUAUUUAAAUUGCGCAUAACGUGUAACGUGUAUUGCAAUGAUAUUUAAAUGUACUUUUUCAGAAUACAACCUUUGCCUCGUUGUUGAUGAACACUCGAGCUUACUAUGCUGCUGUGGUGCAAAAAGUUGCAGAGCCACUGCACAAGCUAACCGCACGUCGGCGGGGAGCUGGGCCGCCUGGAAGAGUUCUGCCACCUUGGAGGAGGACAGCCGCUUCCCGGAGGAGUCCGCCCGGCACAGCCCGUGCAAGCCCGAGUAGUAGCGCCGCUCGUGCUCAUGCAGCACCGGG